GAUGAACGCUGGCGGCGUGCCUAAUACAUGCAAGUCGAGCGAACAGACGAGGAGCUUGCUCCUCUGACGUUAGCGGCGGACGGGUGAGUAACACGUGGAUAACCUACCUAUAAGACUGGGAUAACUUCGGGAAACCGGAGCUAAUACCGGAUAAUAUAUUGAACCGCAUGGUUCAAUAGUGAAAGACGGUUUUGCUGUCUCUUAUAGAUGGAUCCGCGCCGCAUUAGCUAGUUGGUAAGGUAACGGCUUACCAAGGCAACGAUGCGUAGCCGACCUGAGAGGGUGAUCGGCCACACUGGAACUGAGACACGGUCCAGACUCCUACGGGAGGCAGCAGUAGGGAAUCUUCCGCAAUGGGCGAAAGCCUGACGGAGCAACGCCGCGUGAAUGAUGAAGGUCUUCGGAUCGUAAAACUCUGUUAUUAGGGAAGAACAAAUGUGUAAGUAACUAUGCACGUCUUGACGGUACCUAAUCAGAAAGCCACGGCUAACUACGUG
rnacentral:rRNA from 1 species